rnacentral:rRNA from 1 species
GACGAACGCUGGCGGCGUGCUUAACACAUGCAAGUCGAACGGAAAGGCCUGCUUUCCCUUGUGGAUUGCGGGUACUCGAGUGGCGAACGGGUGAGUAACACGUGAGUGAUCUGCCCCCAACUUGGGUAUAAGCCUGGGAAACUGGGUCUAAUUCCCGAUAGGACUGCAGGGUGGUGCCUGUGGUGGAAAACGAUUUUCUAGUGGUUGGGGAUGAGCUCGCGGCCUACCAGCUUGUUGGUGGGGUAAUGGCCUACCAAGGCGGCGACGGGUAGCCGGCCUGAGAGGGUGGACGGCCACAUUGGGACUGAGAUACGGCCCAGACUCCUACGGGAGGCAGCAGUGGGGAAUAUUGCACAAUGGGCGGAAGCCUGAUGCAGCGACGCCGCGUGGGGGAUGACGGCCUUCGGGUUGUAAACUCCUUUCGACCGCGAGGAAGCCACCUGGUUGGAAGGGUGGUGACGGUAGUGGUAGAAGAAGCACCGGCUAACUACGU